rnacentral:tRNA from 1 species
GAGGGUAUAGCUUAGUGGUAGAGCACAUGCUUAAUACAUAUGAUGUCCUGGGUUUAAUCCCCAGUGCCUCCA